UGGGGAAUAUUGGACAAUGGGCGAAAGCCUGAUCCAGCAACGCCGCGUGAGCGAUGAAGGCCUUAGGGUUGUAAAGCUCUUUCGCCUGGGAACAAGAGAAGCCGGCUAACAUCCGGCAGAUUUGAGGGUACCAGGUAAAGAAGCACCGGCUAACUCCGUGCCAGCAGCUGCGGUAAUACGGAGGGUGCAAGCAUUAAUCGGAUUUAUUGGGCGUAAAGCGAGUGUAGGCGGUUUGGUAAGUCGGAUGUGAAAGCCCCGGGCUCAACCCGGGAAGUGCAUUCGAUACUGCCAAGCUAGAGUAUCGGAGAGGUUGGUGGAAUUCUCGGUGUAGAGGUGAAAUUCGUAGAUAUCGAGAGGAACACCGGUGGCGAAGGCGGCCAACUGGACGAAUACUGACGCUGAGACUCGAAAGCGUGGGGAGCAAACAGGAUUAGAUACCCCCGUAGUCCCUGAGCGGGCUGGCAAGGCGCAU
rnacentral:rRNA from 1 species